CUGUGGGCUCACAGUCUUGCAUGAAGGGUCAGUUCACUGAGUCACUUCUGCAGCCAGUUCUGCUGCUUUCCAGUCCCUCUGUGUCCUCAGUGUCGAACACUCCCCUGCGCACAGGGAUUGAACUCAGGACCUUGCACUUGCGAGGCGGGUGCUGUGCCACUGAGCUAAAUCCCCAGCCCAAAGAGGUCAUAAUGAGCUCACUAGGGUCAUGAAAACUCACUCACUCCUAGAGUGAGUGAAGCCAAAGACAAAUCCAAAAGACCUGUGGAUGUCGUGGAAAUUUGAGAUCUCGUUUGCCUUGUCCUCUUCCCAAUCCUUUGAGGGGCAGCUUGGAGAGAAUUUUGAACUCACAGAAAUCCUGCAGCUCUGAGCUGAUUUUCAUGGUGGGAUGUUUUAUGCAGCAUUAAUCUUGUGUCCGAUUUCUCCUGGGUCACUGUGUGUGGACAGAACUUGCUAACCUUUCUGGCUUCAGGUGGAUGCAUGAGGCUGUGGGUUCCCAACUGCAGAUUAGAGGCAUUCAUGAGUGAGGGGUUCCUGGGGUCCUCAUUUCUGAUUUGGGGAUUGCUUGGGGGCCUUAGGGUCAAGAUGAAUUGAGGUAGAAGAAUGACUCUGCUGGACUGAAUGAAGGGAUCCCAUAGUCUAACUGUUCAGAAAAGCAUCCUAGUGGGUAGAAAGUCUGGAUUCUUUUAAGAGCAUGUUUGAGAAUAUAAUCUGAUCAAUAAGUGUGCUUGUUUAUCGUUUCACCUGCAUAAAGCCGAGAGGGAAAACAGACAUGCAGUUGCUCCAUGUUUAUAAAUCCUUAGAUUGACUCCAACAGCAGACCCAGAUGGAGGCCCAUCAGGCCCUAGGUGGUCAGACAUCUCUGCUCUGCACCUGUAAUGUGAGACGGGAUCAAUAUUAAAUGGUAAAAUAAGUGUGGCAAACUCAAAGGAGUCCUGAACUUUUUUCCAGAAUGACUAUAUAAAAUUAUUUUUAUUAGAAAAAUGAAGUCAUUUAAUAAUACAUGGGAGAAAGGUGCCAAGUUCAUUGCUUUGCUCUGAGAUAUGUACAGUACCAAGUUCAUUCGGGCCCAUUCCUCGGUAAGCAGAGCCCCUCUAAGAGGAGCGGGUACUCCUUUCCCUAAGAGACGCAUGGGUGGAGUCCCCGGGGGCAAAGGGGGUACUGGGACAACAGCAAAGUGACUGUCACCUGGUGACCCAUUCGGAAAUUGGAAUAAUAUCGUCCUUGGGGGUCACCACUCCCCCUUCCUGCCCUCUGGGUGCAACCUUAGGGAUAUGAUAGAAGUUUAGAGUUGGAGUAACACAGAAGCAAGCCACAUCCAGUGUCUCCAGUUGACAGAUGGAGUGGGGACCAUAAGAAGUUAAAGAGCCACAGGGAGCAGGUAUGUUGCUGGCCUGUGGCUGGUGUGUAAGGGUAUGAGGACCCCCUUGAAACCAGCCACGGAGCAUUUAUGGGACACUGAAGUUUGCUAGCUAUGUGAUGAGGGGCAGAGUACCACCUUGCCCAGCCUCAGUUCCCUCCUGUGUGGUGAGAUUCCAACCCCUCCUGGGGUUGCUGGGGUGACUGAAUGGCAUCAUGAGGCAGCCCAUCUGAUGACAAAUGACUAGUCAAG
rnacentral:lncRNA from 1 species